AGUUCAAGAGUACGUGAAACCGUUCAGGGGUAAACGGGAGAAAUCCUGAAUUCGAAAGGGGGUUGGAUUCAAGUCCUUCCGUGUAUCUGGGCCGCCCCAGCCAGAUGGCGCCGGUCGCCCGCGGCGAUUAAUUUCGCUUGCGGUGUCGUAACCGGCGAUCACUGCCUGNACAUGGUUUAGGGGUGCCGGAGGGAGUGCACUUCCUCCCUAGUAGAAACGUCGCGACCCGUUGGGUGCCGGUCAAAGGCCCGGGAUGGCAGACCGCGCGUCCUGGGGGGGGUUCUCCCUCGCAGGGCGCGCGGACUCCUGGUGACCCGGCCGGCCGCCCGACGGUAUGACCAGAGGGAGUCGAUCCGCUGAAAUG
rnacentral:rRNA from 1 species